UACAGGAGGUGCAAGCGUUGUUCGGAAUUACGUGGCGUAAAGCGCGUGUAGGCUGCGACGUAAAGUCAGGGUGUGAAAGCCCUCAGCUUAACUGAGGAAGUGCACUUGAUACUGCGUCGCUUGAGUGUCGGAGGGGGUGGCGGAAUUCCCGGUGUAGAGGUGAAAUUCGUAGGAUAUCGGGAGGAACACCUGGUGGCGAAGGCGGCCACCUGGACGACACUGACGCUGGAGACGCGAAAGCGUGGGUAGCAAACAGG
rnacentral:rRNA from 1 species